rnacentral:lncRNA from 1 species
UGAAGAAUGGCUGAAAUGAACCGCACCUGCAUCGCAUGCAUGGACCCAACUAGGUAAAUCUGCAACCAGAGCACGCCAAGGUACUUGCAAAUUACAAUUACACCAAAGAAGAUAAACAAUGUCAUAAAGCACUGAUGGAUGUGAAAUAGUACUGUGUCAAACACAGGCAGGGCAACUGCAGUGUUUGCUCUUCUUCUGUCUGUACAAGUGCUUCAACCACUGUAUGUAUUGUAAAUGUACAAAAGUAUUGCAAUGGCCUAAAGAUUUGGGAUAUGAUACACUUAUGACUUGUUAAUGUGUGUUCUCCAACGAUUCAUUGUUUUCCUAUUUCCAUUUGACGAACAAUUUCCUUAUCAUAAAUUUUGCAACAAAUGACAAAUGCAAAACACCGAGGCAAACUAUUCAACUGGUUUGGAUGUUUUGCCGCGUCCAAUAACAGCUACUCCCUCUAUUCACAAAUAUAAUAUGUUUUGAAUAUUUUAAUAUGGACUACAUACAGGCUGACACAAGUGAACAAACACACUAAAACAUGUCUAUAUACAUCUGAUUCAGAAAAAAGUUAAAACAUCUUAUAUUUGUGAAAGGAGAGAGUACAUGGAUGGAUGACAAGUACUGUACUUCUAGAUGUGGAGGGAGCUGCCCAUGAUGGAUGGCAAGACUCCCAGGACAUGCAUAUAUCGAAAGUAACAGCAAAACAAAGAUACUGAUAACUAACCGGUGUUAUUCUCUUCUUCUAAUAUAUGAGAAAGUACAACUAGUUUACAGUUACAUGCAGAUAAGGACUUCGUCCAUUUAUAAUCUGUUAAUCUCUCGAGUGAAGAAGACCAAAAGUUUGUGAAGCAGCACAUUCCAUGCAGAACACAGAUAGAUGAUCCAAGAAAUCAUCCUACAUAUAAAAUAACCAGUAUGUUGUCAUUUCAACGGUCUGUAAAUCAGCUCUUCAAUGGUCCAGAAAUCCCUAAUCGGCAUCCAUUACGUCUCCAGGUCUUCACUGUUACAAGGGUACAAUUAGUGUCAGGCACUAGAUUGUGGGUCCUCAUAAGAAAAAUAGUAGCUUCUGAGUUGUAACUAAAUUUAUGCAUACAUGUUAUAGUAAUGUUGUUCAUGUGUCAUACAGUAUGAGUUGGUUUCGAACAAAAUCCACAGAAGUAAUUCAUAUUUCAUAAAGUACACAUGACCAACCAAGAACCAACUAACGUCAUAUGGUAACAGCAUAAAAACUCACAAGGGAAAAUUCAGAGGUCUCUGUAUUACACAAUUGACAUGAUGCUCUAAAUUUAAACCAUUUCUGUAUCACAGAAGUAGAUGGUGUAAAACGCCGCAGGAUGACCAGUUCUACAUGAUGAGUGAUUGCUUUCUGGGGAUUGACAGAUCUCGCUGCCGAUAAACCGAUUUAAUCAUCUUUUGGACUAGAACCAAAAAUGGAGACUAGGAAUCCUUCAGAGCCAACUGGUAAGGGCUCAUGUCAUGUCAAUGGCUGGGGCCUAACAUAUAUUGUUCGUCAGCAUACACCACAGGACAGCUGAAAGGGACCAUAUUAGUCUUGCAUGUGGGGUAAUGGCAGCGGUGUGCAAGACAUCCAAAUGGCUUUGGGGUGUGCUUUGUCUUGGAGUUGGCUAUGGCCUACAGAUAGGAUAAUAUGAAAGGGUUCUUCGACAUUGACACGUGAGCUGUGAAAUUGGAACACUUCUACGUGGUACCCACCAGGCAACUGGCUUUGACAAGAACAAUUUAUGAUAUUCAGUUUCUUAUUGUUGGAUUCUUUAUAUGGUAUUAAGUGAAGGCUGCACAAAAUAAAAACAAAGAGCAACAAACAUGUGCUGGUUGGUGUUUCACUUUCUGAUGUUGCCACAUUAAACAUAUUUUAGGAAGGUAACUUAGGGCCAUGGUCUGAGUUUUGUGACAGAAGCCUAUGUCAUAAUAAUUUUGUCAUACACAAACCAAUUUAGGUUACACGGUUCAGGUUCACAGCAAAAUUCGGAAGAGAUGGCACUGCAGAGACCUAGACCCUUGUACCAAAAGUUGGAUGAACCAUGUUUCUGGAAAUUACGCUUAGUUCUCCAGUAGAGCAGUGUCAUAAAGUAAAAAGUUCAACAAUAAUUUCACUUCAAUUUUGGGGCCAUAAGUUAGCAACCCCCCACCCCCAGGUGGUAUCGAGUUACAUGCACCAGACAAUUCACCCAAAAGCUCAAGGUAAUCGAGAACCAUGUUUUAUUAGAGUGCCCCAAAUGGUCUUCGACUUGCCUGCAAUCAUGUUGAUAGCGCCAACGACGACUUGGGACAUGUCCACGGUCAUGAGGAGAACGGCCUAGGGUGGCGUGGAAGUCAGGAUGCAAGCUGGACGGGACUACCCGCUCGGCCGCAACACCGCCCCGCAAAGUAUGCCCGCUAAGCGCCAUUGGAUAGACCAUAUGGUCAUAAGAGGGCUCAAACGAUAUGGCCGCUUUGUCCGGCGGGCGCUGCAGCAUCCUGCAUCUCCAACUAAAACAUAACUCGUACUAUGAGCUCUAUCCAACCGGGAGAAUCCCCAAAAAUUCACACCAGUAAACGAGCAAGCCGGAUCUACUAUACAUGUACAGUAAACUCGCACCCUGAAAAUUGCGCGGCCGGGGGCGGUCUGCGGCAGGGCAGUGUUGCCUGAGGUGGCGCGGGAGAUGGACUGCAUGGAUGCGCAGUAGGGAAGCUGUGCUGGCUGCUGCGUGCUGCAGGUGAACUGUGCCCUGGAUGUGAGGAAACGCCUUAUGCCCUUACCUGCUUUCUAAUCCCUGUCACAGUUGCAUGAUUUUGGAUGUAUGCGGCUUUCACGAAUUGCCGCUUAACCAACAAGGAAACACCCGAGCACAUGCAAACCGCCGGGACCACGACCACCCGCACUAGCAAGUGCAGGCUGACCGUUUCCCGCCCCGCCUACAUCCUGACAUGGAAGGCAAACAUGGUCACAAUCACAACAGUCUAGCAGUUAGUCAUGGGGUCAGUGGACACACUCAUGGUGGUCGCAGGCAUGGCGGGUGCGUCCAAACGCAUGCAGCCUUGGAAGGCUUAGACUGAUGGGUCAUGGCCGAGCACGGUCCCGUGAUCACCAAAUGGCUCGGCCAGUCAAGCAGUAGAUGCAAACUUCGUCCUCCCGGUCUUAAAGGCCGCGGGCAUAGCAUGAACACUGGCCACCCCACUAUUGGCCUGGACAUGAAUGUUGGCUUUGGCGGAAAACGAUGAGCGACAUGGCUAAGAUGAAGGACGUGAGGGUAGCGGGAGUGGAGAGACGAAGGUCGUGAGGGCAGUGGGCUUGGACAUGGAGGUGGUGAGACUAGAGGGGAGGCCAAGAGGAUGUACAAGGUCGUAAUAGCGCAGGUAAUUGUGUACUCAUGAUUGUAGGAGCAAAUGAUGUACUCAUGAUGUAGGAGUAGAGAUCAUGGUCAGAUUUUUGAGAAUGCAGUAGUCGGCGUAGAGACCAUGUUCAAGUCUUAUGUGCAUAAGCAAUUUUAUGGAAAACACUGCCAUGACAGAGAAACCUGAGUGAAUCCAAGUUUUCUCUGCCACGGCAGUGACUUUCUCUUGAAAUGGCAGCAUCUUCUCACUAUUUUGUUCGAGUAAAAUAUUUUGGCAUGUCACUAUUUUUACUGUAGUGGUUCUUAAGCACCACUGGUAACAUAAGAGCUAAAACCAGACAAUAUAAAGAUGAAGAGAAGAUGCCAUAUAUGCGAUGCGCCUAGAGAGAACCACACAAGCUGUAUUCAGCCACGAAAGUGAGCUUGGAAGUGGCAUCAGUUGCUGUUUGUGUACAAUGUAGAACAUAUGGAAGAGAGCUUAGAAAGCAGGUAGAAUACAUCCAGACGCGAGCAAAUGGACUAAGAAUUAUGGUCCUAAAAGAUAAGAAUUUAAUUCAGAUGUUGUAAAGUAAGUACAAUUGAGCAAGGGAACAACUUUGAAAGAUCUUCCUAAAGAGCUACAUAUGGCGAAGACUACCUUGUGGUAGAGGUUAAAGGAAGGAAGGCUCAUCCGUCACACCAAUGUCAUCAAGCACACUUUAACAGAGGAGAACAAGUUUGGCAGAAUAUGGUUUUCUUUAUUCAUCUUUGAUGAUCAUAGCAUUUGGAAGAGCCCACAUCAAAAGGAUGUACAAUAUCAUACACAUCGAUGCAAAGUAAUUGUACCGCACUUGGGGUACUCAGAAUUAUUAUUUGGCACCAAAUGAGGAUGAUCCUGACCACAAUAAACAGAGCCAUGGUUUUAUCGAGAAAGUUAUGUUCUUGACGGAGGUAGAAAUGCCUCGACAGAUGUUGAUGGUGCCAUUACAUUUUAUUGGCAAGAUAGGCCUUUGAGCUUUCAUGUAUGAAAAAAUGGUAAAGACUAGUAAUAAAAUCCGUGAGGCGGGAAUGGUCACCAAGGUUCUACUGGCAGAUGUAAGUCAUGAUUACAUGGUUGAUAGGCUUCUUCCGGCCAUAAAGCAGAAAAUAGUUAAACAACGGAACACAACUGCAGCACAUACAUACAACAAGACAACACUAUUAGGACCAAUCACAGCGGCGGAUUAAGUUCGCUAAAGCAAAAGGUAAACAUGCACUUCAGAGAGGAACAAAUCUUUUGAGGAAAGAUGCGAUAAUUGUUCGUGCAUAGUAGAUCACAGGUCUGACUAUUACGAUGAUAAUGUAGUAGGUCAGCAGAUAUAGUAGCAUGUGAAGAUAUAUGACAACAAUAUAACCAAGAGGAAUACUAGCUAGGAAAACAGGUAUAACACCGAAUGAAAACAAGCUGAAUAGAUAGAGACAAGCACAGAGAAGAUCAUGCUGACAAACAACCUAAGUACGAACUAAAAGGAUGCGAACCGAUAGAGUGAAACAGAGGAAAGCACGAAAUACUAAAAUAGAUCAGAUAAGUCUAUCGACAAAGAGCACGAAAGUAAACUGCUAAGGGAAAAGAAGUAAAGUAAAGUGAACCAGUGGUGCUCGAUGGCGACAGAUGAAUUUGAUAGACCAGUUCACCCGUCUGACAAAGGACUAUGUCUGGUUGGAGGGACUUGUGGUUGAACACAAGAGCAAACCUGAUGCGGAGCAUCCUACGGACAUCACCAUGUCAAGAGUCCGUUUGGCAGGUGACACGUGCCACAUCUACUUCACAUACAUUAAGGUGAAUCAUCUCCUUUAUGCGUGUUCACUUGGCCCUUUCGAGAAUGGUAUACUACUUGAACCCCUCUCGUGUGCAUACAUAGGUAUUGUUAGAACUUCACGGAUGACAAGGAGUGCAAGUGCAAGGGAACGACUACACCAUACAAGAAGGAAGCGAAGAAGGAACUGUCAAGAGGAAGGCCAAGUUCCACCAACACCGACGGGAAGAUCUCGAGGAAGCCGAAAGCCAAUAGCACAAAGGAAGAAGACGCACCCAGGCGACCCCGUGCGCAUGGCCCCUCCUGACCCCUUCAGAGAGCUACUGGACAUACUCCGUGCGCACGGUACAAGCCCGUGCCCACGAUACAAGCCCGUGCACAUGGGCUAAGUUGUCAGGCCGCUGGAUACCCCGUGCGCACGGGCUCCACUUACCCCGUGCACACGGGGCUGCCUGUGUGCAGCUGUUGGGCUUUGCCCAUGUAUUCCCAUUUCGCCCCUCCUUACCCCUUCAUGUGUUGGACCUAUAUAUACUCCUCCAUUUAGGGAUAGCUAAGAAUAGAUCUAGACAUUAGAGCUUAACUCAUGUAUCUCCCUUGUGGGAUUCCUCUUGAGAGAGAAGACUCCAUUGGAGUUCAAGACCUCCAUUGGAGAAGAUUAUUAGGCAUUCAAGACCCCUUCAAAGGAAGAUUCCUCCAUGGAAUUCAAGACCCAUCUCUCCAAGAGAUUUGGAUGAACUAUCUUGUAUCUUUAUUUCCCUUGUUGUCUUUGGAUCUUGAUGCACCUCUUGUAUUGCUUGUGAUUUGAGGAGUACUUGGAGUGAAUUUUGUCCAUUAGAGUGUUCUUGUGUUCUCCCCUUGUGUUCUUGGUGUCCUUCCUCAAAUCCACCUCCAAUUCGUGAACAUCAGGCCACCUAAUGGGAGGUGGAUUUGAGGAAGAACACCAAAACACAAGGGGAAAACAUAAGAACACGACGUACUCCUCAAAGCACAAGUAAUACAAGAGGUGCAUCAAAAUCGAAAGACGACAAGGGAAAUAAAGAUACAAGAUAGUUCAUCCAAAUCUCAGGAGAGAUGGGUCUUGAAUUCCAUGGAGGAAUCUUUCCUUGAAGGGGUCUUGAAUGCCUAAGGAUCUUCUCCAAUGGAUGUCGUGAACUCCAAUGGAGUCUUCUCUCUCUUAGGAGGAAUCCCACAAGGGGAGAUACAUGAGUUAAGCUCUAAUGUCUAGGUCUAUUCUUAGCUAUCCCUAAAUGGAGGAAUAUAUAUGGUCCAAGACAUGAAGGGGUAAGGAGGGGCGAAAUGGGAAUACAGGGGCAAAGCCCAACAGCUGCACACAGGCAGCCCCGUGUGCACGGGGUAAGUGAAGCCCUUGCGCACGGGGUAUCCAGCAGCUUGACGACUUAGCCCGUGCACACGGGCUUGUAUCGUGGGCACGGGGUCUUGGGCCCGUGCGCAUAGAGUAUGUCCAGCGGAGUCUGGUAGCUCUUUGGAGGGGUCGUGCACACGGAUCAGGAGGGGUCGUGCGCACGGGGUCGCCUGGGCGCGUUUUCUUCCUUCGUGUUGUUGGCUUCCGACUUUCUCGAGAUCUUCCCGUCGGUGUUGGUGUAACUUGGCCUUCCUCUUGACGGUUCCUUCUCCGCUUCCAAGCUUCCUUCUUGGAUGGUGUAGUCGUUCCCUUACGCUUGCACUCCUCCUCGUCGUCCAUGAAGUUCCGACAAUACCUAUUUAUGCACACGAGAGGGGUGUCAAGUAGUAUACGAUCCUCGAAGGGGUCAAGUAAACACACGUGAAGGAGAUGAUUCACCUUUAUGUAUGCCAAACGGACUCUUGACAUGGUGAUGCCCGUAGGAUGAUCCGGAUGAAAACCUCUCUCCGUCCUAUUCUCCUUCAACUAGGAGCUGAUCAGACUCCAGUUAAUUUCACUCAUGGUAGAUACUUAUUGACGAUCUCCAAACCUUCGACAAACUUCUUCGCGAACCACAACUACUCUUGGUUGCUGAAGACUUUGCUUGGUGAAGACAAUUACUCUUCGUCACUCAAGCUGACACCUAUCGGUCUAGAGAGUGCGCAGCUCUAAGUGUAAUAGGUACAAGAACCCUAACUCAGAACUACUGUGAUACACAACUACUAUUUCGGUUCUUGGUUUUCUCUUGGUGGAUUUUAAACCCAAAUUUCUUGGAGAGGGGAUGCUUAAUCAAUCUUCUCAUAAAUCUUAAGCAGAACAGCCAACGGACAAUGUUGGAGCGGGGUGGCUAUUUAUAGCCGCAGCUUUCCCUAAUGGAAAUUGACCAAAUUGGACAUGCGGAUCAACCAAUGGCCGAACGACACGAUUCCAUCGGUCGGAAUUUGAGCACAACGGUAACAUUCAUUGCGGAGCAAGAAAUGCUAACUCCUCAGUCCGAAAGAUAUCUCAUGCAGCACCGAAGAAUAACGUCUUCUGUUGACAGGUAAACAUUCGAGAAUGUGGAUCUUCACGUUGCAUUGCAACAUGUAUAUGGCACAGGCACACACACUCGCUAACCACAGAUCUUCUUUAUGGCGGGAAGAAGUCUAUUAACCAAAUAAUCAUGGCUUACAUCCCGUGUCAGUGCCAGCAGAACCUUGUUCAGCAUUGAUCCCACCUCACAUCUUUCACUACUUUUCGCCAGCUUUUCAUACGAGAAAGACCAAAUGCCUAAAUUCCAACAAACGUCAUGAUACAAUCAAUGUCAUAUCGACCCUGCUACUACUACCAAGACCUUAGAUUUCUCAAUAAAACCUUAGCUCUGCUCACCGCGAUAGGGAUCAGCCACAUCUAGUGCCCAGUUAUAAUCUAAGUACGACAAGUGCGGUACAAUCAAUUUUGAUCAAUGUGUAUGAAACUUUACAUUCCUUUGAAUACAGGCUCUUCUGUAAUGCUAUGCAACAUCGAUAAACAAAUUUGGAUCCUGCCUAACUUGUUCUCUCGGUCAACAUGGACUUGAUGGCAUUGAUGUGACACAUGAGCCUUCCUUCCUUUAAUCUUUGCCACAAGGUAUUAUUUGCCAUAUGUAGCUUGUUACGAACAUAUUUGAAAGUUGUUUUCUUGCUCAACUCUACUUCCUUAACAACAUCCGAACUAAACUCUAUCCUCUUAACCAUAACUCUUAGCUCGUUUGCUUGUGACUCCGUGUAUUCCACCUUCUUCCUUUUGUCCCAUUCAUAUGUUGUACACCAUAUGCAAGGAACGAUCAUUGCUUGAGCCACUUCCAAACAAUUUUUUUGGAAGUACAACUCCCAUUGAGCCGGCGGCGAUAGCAUGCCAUGAUUCUUUAUAAUCCUUUAUCAAUUGGAAAGCGUGGGUAUUUCACUAAUUAUGUGUAGUCCUCCACUUGACUAGUGUCAUUAAGUGAAGAAGUCAAGCAAUAACUUCAUUUCCUUUUCGGGGCCACAAGUUAGUAUUCCCCUAGAUGGUCUGUGCAUUGCUGGAAAUGGUGAGAUCAUCAAUUGUGCCAACAUAUGGCGUGGCAUCAUGGCUAGCGGCAUGUAAGUCGUACCAGCGUUCAAGACCCCAGUGGUAAAACCAAUUACCGCAAGUAUCUUAUGAUCCUUGCCGAAUUCAGUUUUCCAAAAGUAGAUUGGGUUGAAUUUUAAUAUUAUAAUAACUAAAAUUUUGAAACUAUCUUUGGAAUAUAUAUGUCCAAAUCAAGCAUUCAAUCAAAUGUGAAAUAUAAAAGGGAUGGUGAGUACUAAGAAGAGAAACCAAACUCAAAAAGUUGACUUUUUUGACAAUAGGGCUGAACCCAUUCAUGGCUACCCGCUACCAUAAGGAAAACAAUAAGUAGAACAAAAUGUUGCUCAUGAGUAAAACAUGGUAUAAACUAUAUAAGUUUGCUACUGUAAACCAUAAUUUCUUCAUUUGACAUUAUCUUGACUUCACCGCCGGUAUAGUAACUACUCUUACAAAAGUAAAUUCUAAUCUGAAAACAUCAAUCUUACGUAUGCUAUUUUAAUCUACUCAUUGAGAUCCAGGUAAGAGCUUACCAGUUUCCAUUUGAGAGGCUUCCUUUGCAGCGAUAACCCAAGUUGAUUUAUCAGUAUUGAAGCAACAAGCAAGCCCAUCUCUCUCAAAAAGUUCAACUCGUCUCCUCCACCAUCAGCAUCCACUACUACCUUAAAUCUUCAAACCGUAAACUUUACUAACUCUCAAUGUGACCAUCCCAUAAAUAUGUUUAUGGUACUUGAUUCCUCAUAGGUGUAGCUCCUUUGGGUUCAUGGUACUCCAACAGUAUAAUAGUUCUUGAACUACUAACUGCCCCUUUUUCCAUUUGACGAGGAAGCGUGAGAACCCUACACAAGGGUUAUUGCAAUAUUACAAGUCACGGGUAAUGGUUGUAAGGCAAUGUACAACAGAUUCUAAAAGAGAAGGUCGCUUAUUCUUAGGAUCCUAAAAACAGUGCAAUGAAACUAGGGUUUUUAUCAUUUAUGCCACUAGUUGUGUCCCACUACUCAGUUUUGCCACUAGGAGUUUCAACUGCUCAAAAAUGACAUCGUUGCAUUAGGCGCAUGCUCAAAAAUGCCACUAGACACCAUUACUGUCAGCUCAAAGCUCGUUUACCAUGUUAUAUGACCAAAAUAACCAUGGACCAAAAUGUCAGCUCUCCCUCUAUCUCACUAUGAUAGUGUGGGUCCCACUCGACCCCCAACAACGUUCUUAUUUUCCUCUAAAAUUAUUUGCUUGCUUACUCAUGACAAGUGGGGCCCACACUUAUCAUUGUGAAAUAGAGAGAGCUGACAUGUGGGUCUAGGGGUAUUUUGGUCAUAUAACACGGUCAACGGGUUCGACCUGACAGUAACGGUGUCUAAUGAUAUUUUUGAGCAAGCAUCUAACGGAAGGAUGGCAUUUUUUAGGUGUCUAAUGGCAUUUUUGAGCAAGCAUCUCACAAAACGAUGGCAUUUUUUAGCAGUUGUAACUUCUACCGGCAAAACUUAGUGGGACACAACUAGUGGCAUAAAUGAUAAAAACCCAUGAAACUAAUCAUACCAAUAUAAUCAAGCUGGACAGAAAAAACUAGCUUUUUACUCACUACCAGCCCUAUGAAGAUCAAAUGCAGACAACAUUGAUGUUCAAGUAGCAGAUCUUUCAUUAAAUGGAUGUAUCAAACCCAAGACCACAUCAAGACACAAACAAAGAACAUUUGUACCAAGUACCUACUAACUACCCAGACUAAUAAUUUCAAGUAUAAUACUCCUGAAUAUUCUACCGCUCUUUUUCUACCUGAUUCCGAGCAUUGAAGCGCUGUUUAAUUCCUAUUGCAACCUAUCUGAGGGCAAGCUUUUCAAUUGAGUAUGAAUAUUAAGCUCUGCAUCUAAGGGCAUGUUUGGCUGCCAUCCAUAAAUUAUCUCACUUUUGUGCCACAGGUAUGGCAAGUGGCAGUUUUGUGGCGAUCAAAUUGGUCACCACACUUGUGGCAAAACUUGGGUAAAUAAAGGUCUAUGAUAGGUGGGGUAUAAAUACAAUGUUAGACAAGUGUGGCACGCCACAAAUGUGGCUGCUACCAAACGUUUCUUGCACCUGCCAAACAUUUGGAAGAGUGAAAAGAAAAUAUGACAUAAGUUUUUAGGGUAGCGAGAUCUUCUCAAACCUUCAUCACGGAAUAUGAGAUGUCAAUUGAGGAAGAAGGCAAUUCAAUCGGUAUCUGAGCUAGUUGUGAGGUCAUCCACAUCAGAGUCUUCAUUACUGAUUUGCUCAGAAAUAGCCCCUUCACGCUUCUUAAAUAAAGCAACAUGCUUCUGGUAAUCUUCAAGCUCCUGUUCCAGCUGCUCAAUAAAUUUACUGGUAUGUUCAAGAGACUGUUCAUACCUAUAUUUCUCCAAGGCCUGUGGACAUGGAGUAUAGAUACAUGAUGUCAAUUCAACUGAACCAACUGAACGAUAGUCUGCUCAGAUAGAAAAAGAGUACCAUGAGAACAAGCAGAUUUGUCGGUAUAGGACUACUGAUGAUUACCUUCUGCUUAGAAAGAGUAUCAGGAGGUGACAUAACCUUUGGCUGCACAUAAUUCUUUCCACGAUAAAAGAUAAUGGUAUUAUUAGGUUUAAUAUCAAUAACUGUCCCUUUGCUGAGCCUCGCCAACUCCUCUGCGUACUCAUACACUUGCCCAGGUCGACAGGGCUUGCAGACUACUUGCAUAGUCUCAUGCUUCUUCCAGUGGAGGUGCAUGUUGAGAACCACACCACCAAACACCCCUCUCCUCCCAACAGGAACAUAGUUCUUUUUCUUCUCCCCAGUCCGUUUCAGAUAGAACUUCUCCUCCUCGGUCAGAAUCUCAGGGUCAUGAACCGGCUCCGGAGCCCUCGGGGCCUCGUACUUCCUGAGUUUCUCAAUCAGCCAUUCUUCUUUCCUCUUGGCCUGAAUUCACAUGAGAAAUUGACAAUGCAGCAUUUUCAGCAUUUCUCCUCAACUAUACAUACGAAAGGGAACAGAGUGGUAAUAUAACAUGCUAAAACCAAGUGACCUUUUCGAGCUUGUAUCUUAUCCUGACUUCGGGGUUGGGCGACUUCAUCUUCUUUUUGGCCUUGAGGCGAUACCACUUGAGCUGGUUGACCUUGGACUUCUUGGACAUCUUCUUCUUCUUCGCUUGCGGCUGAUUCUGCCCCCCAUUCUGAUUCGUGCCCGGAUCUCCGACCGAGAAGCGCGCAAAGCCUCCGUCCGUGUUCAGCGUCACCGCCGUGCUCCGGUGCCUUACCGGCGAGAGAAACCACCAUCUCCGCGCAGCUCUCGCGCAUCCAUCAACCCCCAGGGAAGGCCGGAACAGCGGGCAGGGGCGUGGGGGAUUUGCGCCGUGGAAUCGCAUCCAAGGAUCGCUGGUUAGGAGGCAAUGGAUAAAUCAAAUCCAAGAUACAAGAUGGCGAUGGAGGCAUUAACAGGAGGAGUGGCAACGAACCGUGGAGAGCGUAGAGCAACGGCGGGUUGCAGAGCCCGGCGGCCAAGGAGCCGGGGCACGAGGGACGCCAUGGCGACUGAGCAGUGAGGCGCUCCGGCCGCCGGACACCCGAGGUGUUCAGUUAAGGGCCAACUGUGUUUGUUUGUGUGUUUGGGCUAGCAGGGCCUGGUUGGUUGGUAAAACCUUGGAUGGGCUUAUGAUGGGCCACACGUCUGCUACACAGAACUUGGGCCGGAGAUCGUCGGCCCGAAACUCAAAAUUACACUCGGCCACCGUCCGAUCACGAAUCGGCGGUUGCCCAAUCUCCUGCUGCGCAGAGCGGUUGCGGCCCAGCCAGGCCCGCGUUUUGGUGGGACUUUUGUCUCCAUCCCUGCCGCCGCUGUCCGUCGUCGUCCAGGUGGGGAAUGCCGCGGGGGGACACGAGGCGCAUCGCUCGCGUCCCUCCUCCUCGCCCCGCCACGACAGCGCCUCGACCUCGGCGCCUCCCCAUCCUCAUCAACGCCACGCGCCAAAUGCUAUCCCCCCGCCGCCUGCCGCUCGUCGCAUUGCUCCCCUCUUCGUCCGAUCGGUCCGGUGGCCAUGGGUACGAUUUUCUGCUGCAACUUUUCGAUUUCUGUACUUUUACUUUUAUCUUCGAGGCACGUCGAGUCCUCGUUGCUCCUUGCUGCAAAGAAUUUCGCCGUAUUUUUGGGGUUAAUUUAAGUGUAUGUGCUUUUAGCCUUCCUUUUUGUUUCGUCGUUGUGGUCCGUAAUUCGGUUCGACUUAGGGGAUCGGCUCUCACGUCAUUUUGUAGCAGUUCAUGGAAUCAGUUUAACUAAAUCAGGCACUUUUGAUGAUUAUGUGUGCAGCUACCAGCAGCAGCAACAGCAAUCCAUUCAGCUUCGCCUUGAGGGGGCUCCGAGACCGCGACGGUGGCAAUUGUGGCAGCUACUACAGCAUCCCUGACCUAGGCGAUCAGCGAAUAGGUAAAUGCUGGGUUGGACAAAAUAGCAUUUCACAUACAAAUUAAUAAUGCUUCCACGAGAGAACCGGCCGCUAGCUCGGUGGAUAGAUCUUGCGGUGGUAAACUCGCGCACCCUGCGUUCGAAUCCACGCGUGAAAUCCACUGAAAUGUUUGGACAAAACAGCAUUUCACAUACAAUUAAUGCUUCCGCAACCACGCUAACGGUCAAACCGCUUCAUACAAAUAAUGCUUCCACCACGACCACGCUAACGGUCAAACCGGUUUGUUAUUCGGACAGUAACACGUUCUUGUAUAAACUGCAUGAAAAUGAAUAUGCCAUAAUAAAAGGGGUAUAGGUUGGAAUAAAUCGUCACAUGCAAGAAUGGCAUGCAGGGCCAGGCGCAUGUUACAUGUGGGCUGUGGCUAAUAGUUGUGUAAUAAUGAUAUUCUCCAAGUUUUCUGUUUUAGCGUUGGUACCCUAGGCUUUUCUUUUUACAACAAUUCCAUUGCAGUUUUAUUGUAGCAAAACGUCCAUUUUUAACCAUGAGCUAUGGUGCUGGGUCCAACAUAAGCUCUGAACUAUGAAACCGUCUAUGUCAAACACUGAACUUCUAAAAUCAUUUAAACUGAACCCUUCCUUGGUUUUGUAUAAUGUUUUCGUAAUUUCUGGUUUCCAAAAAAUGUAAAACAGUUGAUAUAUGCAGUAAAUGUUAUGAUACUAUAUCAUCCAAAAAUAUAUUUUACGAAAUGAGAAUAGAUAAACAGAGUACUGUUUUGUUACAGAGGACAAAUACUCGGAUAUGUUUGGAUGAAUAUUUGCAGUUUCUCAGUCUUCCAUACUUCAAAGCUUUCUGAAGUUUCAUAGGUUCAAAACCACCCUAAAUAUUGUGGGAAGGCUUGAAGGGUGGUUGGUCUCCAAGGGUUACCAAUAAUCUGAAACAAUUCAUGCCUAAGGGAAAUGCUAUAAAGUGAGAACCAUCAAAACUGCAUCAUACAGUAUAACUAUUUGUGUUCUAUACAAAAAAACCACAAGAGAUAAAGGAAUUUGUCUUUUCAUUUUUACACAGGACACAUAUAUUCAUACUGUUGAUUGAAUUUUCGCAGAUUAUCAUUUCAGAGCACUCUCUACCCCUGUGAAUUUUAUAAUUUUUUAAAAUCCUAUAAUACAAAAUCAACUAUCAAGUAUCACGCUAUGGCUCAGGUUAAAUGGUUUUAUAAAGUUCAGUGUUUAUUAUAAACAGGUUGUAUAGUUAAGGGUUGAAGUUGGACCAAACAACAUAUUUGCAAAUAUAUUGAACAUCAUAAGAAAAUGUUUGUCAAAGCUGCAUUUAGGAACGGUGAAGGAAGUACAUCACUUAUUAGAGUGCUUGGUGAUGCCUUCUCCAGAUAAACUGCCAUACACCAUUCGUGUUCUUCUUGAAUCUGCGGUGCGUAAUUGUGACGAGUUCCAAAUAACCAAGGAGGAUGUAGAAAAGAUCAUGGGCUGGGAGAAGACCUCCCUGGAGCAAGUUGAAAUCCCAUUCAAACCCUCACGUGUGAUACUUCAGGUACGUCUGUACAAGGAUCUAACAUUAGUUGAUUUCCCAUAUAAAACUCUUUGCAUGCAGGAUUUUCUAAUGAUACCUUGGCUUAGGAUUUUACUGGUGUGCCUGUCCUUGUUGACCUUGCAAGCAUGCGCGACGCAAUGUCGGAAUUAGGUGGCAAUCCUGAUAAGAUUAACCCGAUGGUAUUAAAUUAUUUCCUAUACUAUAUUUAGUCAGAGGGUAUUUCCUUUCACAUAUUCUUUGUAGUUAAUAUACAGUUCCGUAUUUCUGCUUUUAGGUUCCAGCAGAUCUUGUAAUUGAUCACUCAGUAACUGCUAAUGUGGUGAGGUCACAAAAUGCGAUACAGGCCAAUAUGGAACUGGAAUUCGAGAGAAACAAGGAACGGUUCGCCUUCCUUAAAUGGGGGUCUUCUGCAUUUCACAAUAUGCUUAUCAUACCUCCUGGUUCUGGUAUUGUUCAUCAGGUGAAAGGAAUAAAAUCAAGGGUUCCCUUUUUUUAUGUCUGAACUCUUAUAUUAUGUUAUCUAGUGUAGGUAAAUCUUGAGUAUCUUGCCAGAGUUGUUUUCAACAGAGAUGGCCUUCUUUAUCCCGAUAGUGUCCUGGGGACUGAUUCCCACACUACAAUGAUAAAUGGACUGGGUGUUGUUGGUUGGGGGGUUGGAGGGAUUGAUGCUGAGGCAGCUAUGCUUGGUCAGGUACAUGCUCAAAUUCUUUUGGCCUUGACAUGUGCUUGCAUAUGCAAUUUCCUGGAAAACAGUAUGCUGAGUGAUAUUUGCCUGUUUCUUUUGCUAGUUUUUCAGUUUGAAACAAUUUGUCGCAGGGAUCAAAUCAAGUAUGAUGUUUAUAAUUGUUUGACUAUUGCAACUAAAACUAUUGCAUAAAUGGUGCAAGGACCCUGUUUUGCAUGUUUUGCCUUGCUCAGAUAUUCAGUUAUCAGCAUACUUUUUUAAUUCCAUUAUCACCAUACUUAAUAUAAAAGCAUGUCUGUUACUACAGCAGGAAUUAAAGUUAUUAGCAACCUAGUAAUCUGUAAUGUGGAACACAUAAAUUGCUUCCGAUCAGAGUCUAGAGACCUCAACUUUCUGACUAACAUGGUGGCCAUUUGAUUCUUCGCAAAGAUAGUUCCUUUAGCUGAUUCUUCAUGUUAUGUUCGGACCUCGAACCACCUUCAGGGCAGAUAGUUUUAUUUGAUCAGGAGCACAGGGUUACAAGAGAUUAAAUUAUCAAUAUAACAAUUAACUUUAGUCUAGGUAGUUGUUGGGAACAUGUAAAUGAUCCUGUCAGUCUGUUGCUGCAGUUUUGAUGAACAUUAAAUGUUCAGCGACUACCGAGCCAUGAAUCGAUAGUACAUGAGAACAAAAAUUUCCCACAAGCUCAGUGAAUGCUUUAUAUAUUUACCUCUUCUAUAUUUUGUCCGCAGCCCAUGAGCAUGGUAUUACCUGCUGUCGUUGGAUUCAAGCUACAUGGAACACUAAGGGAUGGGGUCACAGCAACUGACCUAGUUCUCACGGUUACCCAAAUGCUUCGGAAACAUGGUGUUGUUGGAAAGUUUGUGGAGUUCUAUGGUAUUUUACUGUCUGGAUCAUUGGCAGAUAUCCUUUGUCCUGUCACAAACAGUUAGCGGCUAUUAUCAGGAACUUAGCUUUGUUACUGUGUAAGUGUAGGCCGAGGUAUGGAAGAGCUUGCAUUGGCUGAUAGAGCAACAAUUGCAAAUAUGGCACCAGAGUAUGGAGCAACUGUUGGUUUCUUUCCAGUUGACCAUAUCACCUUAGAAUAUCUUAAAAUGACUGGAAGAGAAGAUGAAACUGUGAGUAUAAUGGUUGUUUGUUCUUUCAAAAUGACUUUGCUACAUAUACAUUACUAUGCUUUGCAGAUGCUGUUUGGAACAAAAACGUACACUAGUAUAUCCAUGUCCUGAUGGUUAACAUAAUUUCUACUGAGAACUACAUUCUUAUUCGGUAAUGCUGAAUGCUUUGACCAUGUAGGUAUCAACAAUAGAGGCAUAUCUACGUGCAAACAAAAUGUUUGUGGAUUACAAUGAAGUAAGUUUAAUUCUUCACUGUUAUCAAUAUAGUGAACACCAUGCAGGAAUAUUGACUGCGUAUUCCAUUAUGAUUUUAGCCUAAAAUAGAACCGACAUAUUCAUCAUACAUAGAAUUGGAUCUGGGAGAUGUUGAGCCAUGUAUUUCUGGUCCGAAGAGGUAAUUUAUCCUGUUAUGUUGUGGUAUACUUCCAUUCUCUUGCAUGGUUUUAAUACAAGCUCUUCUUGCAGACCUCAUGAUCGAGUCACCUUAAAAGACAUGAAGACAGACUGGCAUGCAUGUCUGGAAAAUAAAAUUGGUUUCAAGGUGCGGAGAUCAUCAGACAAAUAAAAUUUGUUUGCUCAUACUAAUUGAAGGAAUCUUGAUGCCUAGAUUAUAUAUUUAAGUCUAUUCCAAGUGGUUGAGGUGUUGUGCAAGAGAGCAAACAUAAUAUAUCAAAACUUACGUUAGACGUUAGUUACAGCCUAUAAGUGUGCCUCUUGUCCUGUCUUCGCAAACAAAUUCCAGAAUUCUGGUCUCAAGUCUGUAUUCAUAAAAAGUUCAUGGGCUGUGCUGAUACAUUUUAAAAUUACCAAUUUUGCUCAUUUUCCAAUAGCUUCAUGCGCUGACUAACAUCCAUGGUAUUUUUAGGUCAUAAGAUAUGUUGAGUGUGUUUGCUUUACCUAAUGUAACUAUUCUCUUGAGAAGACAGAAGCAAGGAUGAUUCAUUCUAUUUAUUUCGGGGUUAUGGUAUCCCAAAAGAUUUGCAAAAUAGAGUUGUGAAGUUUGAUUUUCAUGGGCGAACUGCAGAGCUUAAACAUGGGACUGUUGUCAUAGCUGCUAUCACAAGCUGCACAAACACCUCAAACCCCACCGUUAUGAUUGCUUCUGGGUUGGUUGCAAAGAAAGCUUACGAGUUGGGCCUCGAGGUCAGCACUUGGUUAAUUAUGGUCAAUAGUUUAUAGUUACUGUAGGUGUGCAUCUUCCUUCUCUGCCCUUUUGGCUAGCCAGGGUACUCAAUUGCCUACUUCUGUUUGGUAAGGUCAAACCAUGGAUUAAAACAAGUCUUGCCCCUGGGUCAGGAGUUGUUACCAAAUAUCUGCUUAGGAGGUAUGUUUCUACAUGUCACUUAAUUCAUCAUAUGCCCCUUAUUGUUGUUCCUGCAAUCCGGCCUGGAUGCAAUUAUGUAUUGUAACCUCCAAACAUACUGAUCAUGGAUGCAAUAUAACAUUUUCAGUGGUUUGCUGAAGUACUUGAGCGACCUGGGUUUCAAUCUAGUUGGGUAUGGCUGUACUACCUGUAUCGGAAAUUCAGGUGAUCUUGAUCAAAUCGUUGCAGAUGAAAUUACAGAAAAUGGUAUUAUCUUCUUGCAUGUGCCUCUUCACUCCUUUCAAAGUAUCAUAUUGAAGACACUAGAAUAAUUUUUUAUCUUUUUGUUAGACAUCAUCGUGGCUGCUGUUCUUUCUGGAAACCGUAACUUUGAAGGGCGGAUACAUCCAUUAACUCAAGCUAAUUAUCUUGCUUCUCCUCCUCUAGUCGUUGUAUAUGCUCUUGCUGGCACGUAAGUGGAAAUAUUGUAAAUGUUUGCAAUGAUGCUUUCCAGCUAACGUAAAAAUAUGUAACUUAUAGGGUAUUUUGUUAUGUAUGUUUUGCUAUUAAUAUCCAUUAGCAUAGUGGUUGUUUUGUAUAGUUAAAUCAUGUUGCCAAUUAGAACUGUGAUAAUAGAAGAAGAAAAGUGGAUCCUGUUCCCCAAAACGUAUGGAUUCUUAUGUUUAGAGUGUCGUGUUUAGGUUGAUAUCAAUUUUGAAGAGGAGCCAAUUGGAACUGGAAAGGGCAACAGACCAAUUUUCCUAAGGGACAUCUGGCCAUCUAGCGAGGAAGUAUCAGAAGUAAGUUUUCUUGGAAAGCAAUUGAUGCACAUCACAUUGAAAAGGUUGAAUAGGCAGCAUUCACAUAUGCACCUUUGCACAAACAAGAUUCAAUUUAGCAAUGGAGCUGCACUCCUGUUGGACAUUGGCACUUCUAACUGUUAGAGACACACUCGGGUAUCACCCUUAUACACACGGGUGCUACCCUUGUACUAUAUAUAUACAAGAGGUGGAAUACCACAAAUAUCCUAACACACACAGACACACACAACAUAUCCAGACACACUUGGGUAUCACCCUCAUACGCACGGGUACUGCCCUCACUACGUCUAACACAAACGACAUACAUGAACUUAUUCAAUGGUGAUUCUAAUUGUUGUGUGCUGACAAUGCAAAUCACAGAUUGUGCAUUCCAAUGUCUUGGUUGAUAUGUUCAAAAGUACUUAUGAGGUAAUCACGAAAGGCAAUCCCAUGUGGAACCAACUGGUGGUUCCAACUGCAGAUGUUUACUCUUGGGAUCCUAAUUCAACCUACAUUCGUGAGCCUCCUUUCUUCAAAGGCAUGAGUAUGGAUCCACCUGGGCCUCAUAGUAUAAAGGAUGCCUACUGCUUGUUGAGCUUUGGUGACUGUGUAACGACAGAUCAUAUUUCACCAGCUGGGAGCAUUCACAAGGAUAGCCCAGCUGCCAAGUAUCUCGUUGGCCAUUCUGUGAAGCACAGGGAUUUUAAUUCGUAUGGCAGCCGUCGCGGAAACUAUGAAGUAAUGAUGAGGGGAACCUUCGGCAAUAUUAGGAUUGUCAACAAGCUUUUGGACGGUGAACCUGGACCAAAAACAAUUCACAUUCCAACAAGAGAGAAGCUUUAUGUCUAUGAUGCUGCCAUGGUUAGUUCCUUUGCACAAAAAGACUGGUCUUGGUUUUUUCCACUGUCCAUAAUUCCCAUAUUCAUGAAUUAGUUGAUGGCUAUUUCUCCUGCUGCAAAAAAUUUUAGAACUUUCUAUUUGUGAAAAAGAGCAGUUGUGCUACUCAUGUUUCUUCUUUUCUCCAUACUAUUGAUAGAGGUAUAAGAAUGAUGGGCAAGACACAAUUGUAUUGGCGGGUUCUGAAUAUGGGACUGGAAGUUCGAGGGACUGGGAUGCAAAAGGCACUAUGUUGCUGGUAAAUAUUUUAGUACGGAAGUUUCCUGCCUUGCACGUCCUCACUUUGUAGGCUCAUGGAAUAAUGUGUCGCCGCAGGGAGUUAAGGCUGUAAUUGCCAAAAGUUUCGAAAGAAUCCAUCGAAGCAAUUUAGUCGGGAUGGGUGUAAUUCCUCUGUGCUUCAAGUCUGGAGAAGAUAUGGACUCAAUUGGUUUGACUGGACAAGAACAAUACACUAUUCAUCUUCCAAGCAGUAUUCAUGAAAUGCAGCCCGGCCAGGAUAUUGUUGUUACCACAAGCACACGAAAAUCGUUUACGUGUACGCUUCGCUUUGACACAGAGGUAAAUGGAACCUUUACUUAUUACUCCUUCCGUUUCCCUGAAAGCUGUAAUAUUAGACAUAGAUAUGAUCUCUAAAACACAACUUUUACUAACAAAAUAUCAUAAUAUAUUUAUUAAAUCCAAUAACAAAUUACAAAGUACUUCUCAGAAUAUACUGCAUAUAAUUUUCAAGUAUCUAAUCCUCUAGGAGCCUUUAAUUUUCUGUAAACUAAUUUCCUUUUAAGGAUGCUAACUAGUGCUGCUUCUGUAUGUAAGGAAUGUGAAAUUGAGAAGUAAAUUAUUUCAUAUAUAUUCUGGAGUUGUUCCUGUACUGAAAAUACUUCAUGCCAUCUAAAACCAACCUUCUCUCUUUUGCUGCAUCUAUUUGUGCCGUAUUAUUGACGCCACAUUAGGUUGACGUUUGAUCAUAUAAAAGAUACGAGAUAAACAUAACUCAGGAAAUUCUUGAAAUAUAUUAUGAAACUAUAGAAUAUAUUUAUAAGAAAUGUACAAAAUAAAAAAAAC